UGGAAAAAAGAGACAGAGAGCAAUAAACCCCAAAAGAAACAACUGAUGCAUAGUACCGUUGCUCACCACCCGAAGCCCAGCCCUUCCCCCAGGAGCGAUCAGCCCCUCCCAGCCAACUCCCCCCAGUUUAUAUACUGGGCAUGAUGCUCUAUUGUAUGGGAUAUCCUUUUGGCCAGCAGGUCAGCUGUCCUGGACAUGCUCCCUCCCAGCUUCCUGUUCACCUGCUAACUGAUGGAGCAUGGGAAAUUGAAAAGUCCUUGGCUCAGGGUAAGCCCUGCUGAGCAACAGUUAAACCAUCAGUGUCUUACCAACAUGAGUCUCACACUGAAUCCAAAACACAGCACUGCACCAGCUAUGAAGAAGAAAAUUAACUCUAUCCUAGCCAAAACCAGGCCGGAUCUUUUUAUUUAUUUCUUCCAGAAAGGAAAAAAUAUUACAAGAAAUCUGUUAAAGGAAAUUUAUUAAUUUAAGAGAUGGAAUUUCUGUCUCAACAGAUGAAUGCAGUUUUUCUCACAAGCUCAGUCAUAUGCCCUUACUUUAUUCAGAAUUAGAAUAGCAAUGUUCUGGAGAGUAGAAAAAAAAUGAACAGAGUUGAUUCCAACAGAGAAAGAGCUGAGACAUAUGUGCAGAAGACAGAACAAGUUUAAACUAUUUGGAGAUGUUUGAGACACAUCAUUUUCUCAAAUGAGAGUUGUGGUCACUUGGCACACUGAGAUAUUCUCUGUCAUUUGAGUGCUGCAUUUUUCCAUGGAAGGGAAAUUUAUGGGAUUUCUCAUUUAAGAAGUGUCCUAGGACCUGUCUUGCUCAGCCCUAAAGCCAGUCUUUCGUGCAUUUGGGAAGGACCAUUAUUCUGUUUUCAUGGUGGGUUUAUGUUGCUGUCUCACCAAUCUCUGUGGAGUCAGCUGAAUUCCAAUGGUUAUAAAAUAUCCUUCAGGUGGCUGUAAGACUACUGGUAACACAAUCCUAUAAUAUCUCAGACUUCAACUCUGUAAG